GUGCCAGCGCCGCGGUAAUACGAGGGGUGCGAGCGUUGUCCGGAAUCACUGGGCGUAAAGGGCGCGUAGGCGUCUUGGCAAGCCUUGAUUGAAAUCCCCCGGCUCAACCGGGGAACUGGUCAGGGAACUGCCAAGAUAGAGUUUGGUAGGGGAGAGUGGAAUUCCUGGUGUAGCGGUGAUAUGCGUAGAUAUCAGGAGGAACACCGAAAGCGAAGGCAGCUCUCUGGGCCAAUACUGACGCUGAGGCGCGAAAGCGUGGGGAGCAAACAGGAUUAGAUACCCUGGUAGUCCACGCCGUAAACGAUGAGCACUUGGUGUCGGGGGAUUCGACCCCCUCGGUGCCGUAGCUAACGUGUUAAGUGCUCCGCCUGGGGACUACGACCGCAAGGUUGAAACUCAAAGGAAUUGACGGGAGCCCGCACAAGCAGCGGAGCGUGUGGUUUAAUUCGAAGUAACACGAAGAACCUUACCUGGGCUUGACAUGU
rnacentral:rRNA from 1 species